GAGAUAAACUAACUCCAGCUUACGUUGUGAUUUAUAUGUUAACGCUUGCUCCAGCAGCUUGCGAUCCUGUGUGAUGCUGGCAAGAGAAACGCAUACUACACUAACUGGCAACGUCGCUCCUUCUGAUUUCCUCCCACUACUCUACUCCCUCCACGACCACCAUAACGACCAAACACUGCCAAGUCAUUGUACUUUGCAGUUUACCGUGUUUUUGUUUUCGUGUGCUUCGGUUAAUGCGGUGCUUGAGACGCUUUACUUUCUCAAGUCUUUGCAAAGGAUGCAUGCCCGGUGUUCAACAGCUGUACACUGAUGG
rnacentral:lncRNA from 1 species